rnacentral:rRNA from 1 species
AGUGAACGCUGGCGGUAGGCCUAACACAUGCAAGUCGAACGGCAGCACAGUAAGGGCUUGCUCUUACGGGUGGCGAGUGGCGGACGGGUGAGGAAUACAUCGGAAUCUACUUUUUCGUGGGGGAUAACGUAGGGAAACUUACGCUAAUACCGCAUACGACCUACGGGUGAAAGCAGGGGAUCUUCUGACCUUGCGCGAUUGAAUGAGCCGAUGUCGGAUUAGCUAGUUGGCGGGGUAAAGGCCCACCAAGGCGACGAUCCGUAGCUGGUCUGAGAGGAUGAUCAGCCACACUGGAACUGAGACACGGUCAAGACUCCUACGGGAGGCAGCAGUGGGGAAUAUGGGACAAAGGGCGCAAGCCUGAUCCGGCCAUACCGCGUGGGUGAAGAAGGCCUUCGGGUUGUAAAGACCUUUUGUUGGGAAAGAAAAGCAGCAGGUUAAGACCCCGCUGUUCUGACGGUACCCAAAGGAUAAGCACCGGCUAACUUCGUG